GCGGGCGUGGCGGAAGUGGUAGACGCGCCAGACUUAGGAUCUGGUGGGGCUUGCAUCCCGUGGGAGUUCGACUCUCCCCGCCCGCA
rnacentral:tRNA from 1 species